rnacentral:pre_miRNA from 1 species
AUAUUACUCCCUCCGCCCGGAAAUACUUGUCAUCAAAAUAAACAAAAAGGGAUGUAUCUAGAACUAAAAUACGUCUAGAUACAUCCUCUUUUAUCCAUUUUGAUGACAAGUAUUUCCGGGCGGAGGGAGUAAUAG